UUUUAAUUACUAUUUAAAUAUGUUUUUCCUUUAUUACCAAUUUUAAUAUUGCAUGAUGACUCAGGAUGGGACGGCAGUAGAACAUAGGAGUUGGAUGAGUGUCCUAAUAUAAUCUGAGAGAGAUAGGGAAAGGGUAAAGAGGUAAAAAUUUUAAGAAAGAAAGAUUAGGACCUGCCCUGGUCGAGCAUCGCUCUCUGGGCUUAGUAGAGUGUGGUUGUCGGAGUAAAGGUCCCUGGUCGAGCAUUGCUCUCUGGGCGCCGGCUUAUUUGGAAAUUUAAGUGACCAGACUGGAGGUAAGGUCCUGGUCGAGCUAAGCUCUCUGGGCGCCAGUCUUAUUGGUUAAGAGAGCCAAAAGGCUAAGGCUGAGAGUUAAGUGACCGGACUGGAGGUAAGGCCCCUGGUCGAGCUUUGCUCUCUAGGCGCCAGUCCUGUUGGAAUGAGAGGUUUGAGAUGUUAGAGUUGAGGUUAGUUGGGACAUAAGUGUUGAAAUAAUCGAGAUUUUAGAGUUGGGAUUAGAGUUCUACUGAAGUACUCCGUCCCUUUGCAUGUGGAAUAAAUUUUGUUUAAGCAUGGCAUGACACAUAUGUUUUAACAUGACACGUAUGGUUCGCGUGA
rnacentral:lncRNA from 1 species